UCGUGCCUGCUUUCCUGCUUUUGGAUAUUAUUGGGUAGGGAAACGCUGCUGAACGCCUGGGCAGCCCAACUCAUGACCAUGAGGAGACAGCCAACACAAUCAGAGUGAAGCAAACCCAGCAGCCUCACAUUGCUGAGCUGUCGGAGUCUACCAGUCAUAGAAUGAAGGACUGGACCGUGCACUACACACUUACACGGAAGCAGAAUAAGAAGCAGACGCCUGGUGGUGGGCCAGAAAAUAAAUGGAAUAUUUUGCAUUC